GCGUUGUCCGGAUUUAUUGGGCGUAAAGAGCGUGUAGGCGGCCAGACAGGUCCGUUGUGAAAACUGGAGGCUUAACCUCCAGACGUCGAUGGAAACCGUUUGGCUAGAGUCCGGAAGAGGAGAGCGGAAUUCCUGGUGUAGCGGUGAAAUGCGCAGAUAUCAGGAAGAACACCCGUGGCUAAGGCGGCUCUCUAGUACGGUACUGACGCUAAGACGCGAAAGCGUG
rnacentral:rRNA from 1 species